rnacentral:rRNA from 1 species
ACGGAAGGCAUCAGUGGGGAAUAUUGGGCAAUGGGCGAAAGCCUGACCCAGCAACGCCGCGUGAAGGAAGAAGGUCUUCGGAUUGUAAACUUCUUUUAUGAGGGACGAAGGACGUGACAGUACCUCAUGAAUAAGCCACGGCUAACUACGUGCCAGCAGCCGCGGUAAUACGUAGGUGGCAAGCGUUAUCCGGAUUUACUGGGUGUAAAGGGCGCGUAGGCGGGGAUGCAAGUCAGAUGUGAAAUCCAUGGGCUUAACCCAUGAACUGCAUUUGAAACUGUAUUUCUUGAGUGUCGGAGAGGUAGACGGAAUUCCUAGUGUAGCGGUGAAAUGCGUAGAUAUUAGGAGGAACACCAGUGGCGAAGGCGGUCUACUGGACGAUAACUGACGCUGAGGCGCGAAAGCGUGGGGAGCAAACAGGAUUAGAUACCCUGGUA